rnacentral:siRNA from 1 species
AUAAACGGCGCUGAGACAUCAAUC